rnacentral:rRNA from 1 species
GACGAACGCUGGCGGCGUGCUUAACACAUGCAAGUCGAACGGUAAGGCUCCAGCUUGCUGGGGUACACGAGUGGCGAACGGGUGAGUAACACGUGGGUGACCUGCCCUGCACUUCGGGAUAAGCCUGGGAAACUGGGUCUAAUACCGGAUAGGACCGCACCGUGAGGGUGUGGUGGAAAGUUUUUUCGGUGUGGGAUGGGCCCGCGGCCUAUCAGCUUGUUGGUGGGGUAAUGGCCUACCAAGGCGGCGACGGGUAGCCGGCCUGAGAGGGUGGACGGCCACAUUGGGACUGAGACACGGCCCAGACUCCUACGGGAGGCAGCAGUGGGGAAUAUUGCACAAUGGGCGGAAGCCUGACGCAGCGACGCCGCGUGGGGGAUGACGGCCUUCGGGUUGUAAACUCCUUUCACCAUCGACGAAGGGUUUCUGACGGUAGAUGGAGAAGAAGCACCGGCUAACUACGUGCCAGCAGCCGCGGUAAUACGUAGGGUGCGAGCGUUGUCCGGAAUUACUGGGCGUAAAGAGCUCGUAGGUGGUUUGUCGCGUCGUCUGUGAAAUUCCGGGGCUUAACUCCGGGCGUGCAGGCGAUACGGGCAUAACUUGAGUACUGUAGGGGAGACUGGAAUUCCUGGUGUAGCGGUGAAAUGCGCAGAUAUCAGGAGGAACACCGGUGGCGAAGGCGGGUCUCUGGGCAGUAACUGACGCUGAGGAGCGAAAGCAUGGGGAGCGAACAGGAUUAGAUACCCUGGUAGUCCAUGCCGUAAACGGUGGGCGCUAGGUGUGGGUUUCCUUCCACGGGAUCCGUGCCGUAGCUAACGCAUUAAGCGCCCCGCCUGGGGAGUACGGCCGCAAGGCUAAAACUCAAAGGAAUUGACGGGGGCCCGCACAAGCGGCGGAGCAUGUGGAUUAAUUCGAUGCAACGCGAAGAACCUUACCUGGGCUUGACAUAUACAAGACAGGCGUAGAGAUACGUCCUCCCUUGUGGUUUGUAUACAGGUGGUGCAUGGUUGUCGUCAGCUCGUGUCGUGAGAUGUUGGGUUAAGUCCCGCAACGAGCGCAACCCUUGUCUUAUGUUGCCAGCAUUUGGUUGGGGACUCAUGAGAGACUGCCGGUGACAAACCGGAGGAAGGUGGGGAUGACGUCAAAUCAUCAUGCCCCUUAUGAUUUGGGCUACACACGUGCUACAAUGGACAAUACAAAGGGCAGCGAAACCGCGAGGUCAAGCAAAUCCCAUAAAGUUGUUCUCAGUUCGGAUUGUAGUCUGCAACUCGACUACAUGAAGCUGGAAUCGCUAGUAAUCGUAGAUCAGCAUGCUACGGUGAAUACGUUCCCGGGUCU